rnacentral:rRNA from 1 species
CAGAGUCCGUCGACCCUGGAUGCAGCGAGCUCUCAGCAGGCAUCUCAANGUUCCGGGCUCGGUCUCANNCACUCAUUUAUCUGGUUGACCUCGGAUCAGNUAGGGAUACCGCUGAACUUAAGCAUAUCNAAUAAGCGGAGGAAAAGAAACCACAGGGAUUGCCUCAGUAACGGCGAGUGAAGCGGCAACAGCUCAAAUUUGAAAUCUGGCUCCUUGGGGGGUNCGAGUUGUAAUUUGUAGAGGAUGCUUCGGGUAAGGCUGCGGUCUAAUUUGCUUGGAACCAGCAAGUCACAGAGGGUGAGAGUCCCGUCUAGGACCGUUGCGCCGCGUCCGUGUGAAAGCUNCNUUCGACGAAGUCGAGUUGUUUGGGAAUGCAGCUCUAAAUGGGUGGUAAAAUUUCAUCUAAAGCUAAAUAUUGGCCAGAGACCGAUAGCGCACAAGUAGAGUGAUCGAAAGAUGAAAAGCACUUUGAAAAGAGAGUUAAAACAGUAUGUGAAAUUGUUGAAAGGGAAGCGCUUGCAACCAGACUUUGCGGGUGACGGUUUCCCCCCGCCUCCUGGCCGGGUUACUCCGUCAUCUCCAGGCCAGCAUCGGUUUGGGUGGUCGGUCAAAGACCCCGGGAAUGUAUCCACCUCCGGGUCGACUUAUAGCCCGGGGUGUAAUGCGGCCCACCUGGACCGAGGAACGCGCUUCGGCUCGGAUGCUGGCGUAAUGGUUGUAAGCGGCC